AGGCUUUCCCCUCCUCCUCCUAGGAGAGGAGCAUGCAGGGACCCUGGUCUGGCUCCACAGGGAGCCUUAAACUGGGAAGUCUGGACUCUGCCAUCAUUGGUUUUAUCCCGGACUCCAGGAGACAGACCCUUAGCUGCCUCGUGCCCCCGUGUGUCCAGCCCCCAGACUGGAGUCAUUUAAAACAGGAACUCGGAGGACACAGCUCCUUGCCUGUCUGUGAAUAGUCUCCCAGGCAUGGAAUUCUAGGAACCCGCAUGCCACUUGAGAGACGUCAGGGGAAGAGCAUGUCCCUUGCAAGGUAGCUGGAAGCAACUCCAAGAGUCUGAAAAAUUCAUCCUGGCACCAAGUCUGGCACAACCGUGGUGCGGAUUUUCCACUGCCUCACCCGCCCGCCUCAAAUCACCUACACUGACUCCUCCUCCCCUUCACUUGACAAGGAUGUACUGAGCACCUACUAUGUGUUGAGCAUCUUCUAGGCACCAGAA
rnacentral:lncRNA from 1 species